GAGUCGGCAGCCCUGUGGCAGCCGGCGGGCUGGUUUCCAUGGUUGCACGAUUAGGAACCACCAGCUGCUGCAUCCCAUGGCCAGGGGUGGCGUCCAGGUGGCAGAGCAGCUAGGAACGCAAGGCCUGAACCUGGGGCCAGACACCCUGCUCUCCCGGCCAUGGUCAACGACCCUCCAGUACCUGCCUUACUGUGGGCCCAGGAGGACCGACUGUGAUUCCUCCACCACCUCACUCUGCUCCUUCCCUGUUGCCAAUGUCUCGCUGACUAAGGGUGGACGUGAUCGGGUGCUGAUGUAUGGACAGCCGUAUCGUGUUACCUUAGAGCUUGAGCUGCCAGAGUCCCCUGUGAAUCAAGAUUUGGGCAUGUUCUUGGUCACCAUUUCCUGCUACACCAGAG
rnacentral:lncRNA from 1 species